AUAUGUGCAUCAGUAUAUCUGUAGCAUUCUAUGUUGAAAUUAACACUAUAAACUUAAAAUUUUUCUUUUCUUAUAGGGGUAUGAAGAUUGGCUUAGACACAGAGCUGAUAAUGAAGUUAACAAAAGUGCUGUUUAUAUUAUUGAAAAUGCAAAGCGAGUGAGGAAAGAAAGUGAAAAAAUCAAGGUUGGUGAUGUAGUAGAAGUACAGGCAAAUGAAACCUUUCCCUGUGAUCUUAUACUUCUGUCAUCCUGUACAACUGAUGGAACCUGUUAUGUCACUACAGCCAGUCUUGAUGGUGAAUCUAAUUGCAAGACACAUUAUGCAGUACGAGAUACCAUUGCACUGUGUACAGCCGAAUCCAUUGAUAAUCUCCGAGCAACAAUUGAAUGUGAGCAGCCUCAACCUGAUCUCUACAAGUAAGAAGACCUUGCUUCACGUUACUUAUGUCUGUUGUCUCUGCUUCUUUUUCCUACCAGUAUAGCAAAGAAAUACCCACUGCUUAUUUACCAGCUUGCUCUUUGUAUGUUUUUAUAAGCUGUUCUUAUUCCAAGGAAGGGAGAUGAAUCAAAUUAGCCUUGCUCAUUACCAGCUUAAGAUAAAUCAUUAUGGACCCAAGCAUCCUAUGUUUUUCUUUUCUUUUAGUUACUUGGAUCAGUUUUUUAGAUGGUUAACCUAAGCUUCAUCUAUUAGACUAAUAGAGUAUCUAGAGUUAACUAAAACAAAAAUAAACCUUUCGCAUCUUAGCCA
rnacentral:lncRNA from 1 species